CCCCUUUCAUCAUAAAUUGCCUGACAAUAUCAGCAACCUUUUCAAACCAAUCACUUCAAGAAAACAUGGUUCCAACCUAAUGAGAAUGAAGUGAACCACUCCAGGCUAUUUAGGAGCUUAGAAAGCACAUAUUAGUUCAUUUAACUAUACAAGUUUAUCUUGAAAGGUUGAAACUAGUAUAAAUGCCUGGCCUCCUUCCUAUUAUGUGAAAAUAUGAAAAGGUAAAGUAGAAAAAGUAACUAAAU
rnacentral:misc_RNA from 1 species